AUUGAACGCUGGCGGCAGGCCUAACACAUGCAAGUCGAGCGGAUGAAGGGAGCUUGCUCCUGGAUCCAGCGGCGGACGGGUGAGUAAUGCCUAGGAAUCUGCCUGGUAGUGGGGGAUAACGUCCGGAAACGGGCGCUAAUACCGCAUACGUCCUGAGGGAGAAAGUGGGGGAUCUACGGACCUCACGCUAUCAGAUGAGCCUAGGUCGGAUUAGCUAGUUGGUGGGGUAAAGGCCUACCAAGGCGCCGAUCCGUAGCUGGUCUGAGAGGAUGAUCAGCCACACUGGAACUGAGACACGGUCCAGACUCCUACGGGAGGCAGCAGUGGGGAAUAUUGGACAAUGGGCGAAACCCUGAUCCAGCCAUGCCGCGUGUGUGAAGAAGGUCUUCGGAUUGUAAAGCCCUUUUGGUUGGGAGGAAGGGCAGUAAGCUAAUACCUUGCUGUUUUGAGGUUACCAACAGAAUAAGCACCGGCUAACUUCGUG
rnacentral:rRNA from 1 species